CCAGAUGGCUGGACGGCCGCGCUCUUUCGGGGGCGAGGAAAGUCCGGGCUCCACGGAAAAGCGGUGCCGGGUAACACCCGGCGGGGGCGACCCCAGGGACAGUGCCACAGAGAACAGACCGCCGCCGCCAGCAAUGCCGGCGGCAAGGGUGAAAAGGUGCGGUAAGAGCGCACCGCGCGCCUGGCAACAGGAGCGGCAUGGCAAACCCCACCGGGAGCAAGACCAAAUAGGGAUGGCGGCUUGCGCAAGCAGGCGAGGCUUUUUCCGGCCUGCCAUCCGGGUCGGUCGCGCGAGGCAUCCGGCAACGGAUGUCCCAGAGGAAUGGCCGUACAGCCCACGCAAGUGGGUGGACAGAACCCGGCUUACAGGCCGUCUGGCACC
rnacentral:RNase_P_RNA from 1 species